GACGAACGCUGGCGGCGUGCCUAAUACAUGCAAGUCGAGCGAAUCUUGAGGUGCUUGCACCUCUUGGUUAGCGGCGGACGGGUGAGUAACACGUGGGCAACCUGCCUGUAAGACUGGGAUAACUUCGGGAAACCGGAGCUAAUACCGGAUAAUCCUUUUCCUCUCAUGAGGAAAAGCUGAAAGUCGGUUUACGCUGACACUUACAGAUGGGCCCGCGGCGCAUUAGCUAGUUGGUGAGGUAACGGCUCACCAAGGCGACGAUGCGUAGCCGACCUGAGAGGGUGAUCGGCCACACUGGGACUGAGACACGGCCCAGACUCCUACGGGAGGCAGCAGUAGGGAAUCUUCCGCAAUGGACGAAAGUCUGACGGAGCAACGCCGCGUGAGCGAUGAAGGCCUUCGGGUCGUAAAGCUCUGUUGUUAGGGAAGAACAAGUAUCGGAGUACUGCCGGUACCUUUGACGGUACCUAACCAGAAAGCCACGGCUAACUACGUGCCAGCAGCCGCGGUAAUAC
rnacentral:rRNA from 1 species